rnacentral:rRNA from 1 species
GACGAACCGUACGAACGUUAUUCGGAAUCACUGGGCUUAAAGGGUGCGUAGGCUGCGCGGAAAGUUGGGUGUGAAAUCCCUCGGCUCAACCGAGGAACUGCGCCCAAAACUGCCGUGCUCGAGGGAGACAGAGGUGAGCGGAACUUAGGGUGGAGCGGUGAAAUGCGUUGAUAUCCUAAGGAACACCGGUGGCGAAAGCGGCUCACUGGGUCUCUUCUGACGCUGAGGCACGAAAGCUAGGGUAGCGAACGGG